rnacentral:lncRNA from 14 species
GGGCUGUGUCUGGGAACUCUGUGUGCCCCCCGUGCACCCUCAGCAGGGUCUGCCCGCUCACCCCCUGCCAGCCCCUGGCCCGGGACACGGCCCCCUCACAGCUGCUGCUGGCACUGCCCUGGCUGCCACCAUGGCACUGACCAGGGGCAUGGCACUGACCACUGGCACUGCCCUGACCAUUGGCAUGGCAUUGACCAUCGGCACGGCCCUGGCUGUCAGCAUGGAGCUGACCCUCACCAUGGCACUGACCAUCACCACGGCUCCUGGCUGUCAGCAUGGAGCUGACCAUCAGCACAGCCCUGACCGUGGGCACAGCCCUUGCCAUCAGCACCGCCCUUGCCAGUGACAGAGCUCUGGCCAUCAGCUUUGCUCUCCCGACAGGGAGCCAGGGGAGGCUCCACCCUGGCCGGGAGCAGCCCCUGCCCCUGGGCCAGCUCCUGGGGAGGGGCAGUGCUAGGCACAGGAGCCGGUGGCAGAGGCACGAGCUUGUCGGAGCGGCACAGAGCAGCAGAGGGCACAGCGCUGGCCCUGUGCUGGGCAGGCACCACCUCACCCCGCUCCUCCCGCAGCCCCGGGCCCUGCCAGCCCGCGCUGGGCACAGGGCUCUCCUCGCUCACACACCCGGGAUCUGCCUCCCCUGGGCAGCGCUCCUGGGCAGCUCCACUGGGACAGCUGGGAGGGGGCUCCAGGGAUGGCAAAGGGGCGUGUUGUGGCUGCAGGCUGCUGUCCUCCUCCCCACCCUGGCCACCAGCAGGCUGAGCGUCCAGAAGGGAGGAAACCAGCCAUUCCAUCACCGACUUUGUCCCCGUGGUGUCAGGCUGCGUGUCCCUCGGAGCAGAGCAGGGCUCUGUGCCAGCAGUGUCCCUCUGGGCCCGGGGGGCUGCAGGAAUCCCCCUCCCCACGCCCUUCCCCGUGUCCUCUGCCGAGGGCUGAGCGGGUGGCCAGGAGCAGCAGCGCUGUGGGGAGCCUGGGACAGCUGCAGGGAAGCUGACUUGUGAGGUGUAAUCAGU